GGGGCCGGCCUGGUUUCUGCGUCAGCUGCACGCGUGCCCAGGCCCUGCUCCUCUGCAGCCCCGGCUUUCCUGCCACUUUCCACCUCCUCAGAGUCUUUCCUUAGCGACAGUAAAGGCCGUGUGUGAUGGGGUUAUUGCUGGGAUUCAGGGCUGGCACUAUGAAUCCACUGCUCCUGGCAGCCAUUUUUUCUACUUUACUGGAUGGGACAGAGAAAUUGAAAGAGGAGGGAGAGACAGAGAGAUGCCUGCAGCCCUGCUUCACCCCGCAGACUCUUGGAGAGCUGUGAACGUCCACUCCCGGAGACUCAGCUCAAAGGAAGCACAGAUACAGCGAGGAAGCACAGAUAAAGCGAGAUACAGCGGAGGAAGUCAGCAACCCUAAAGCAAAAGCCGAGCUUCGCAGAACAACACGGAGACCGCCUCCCGCCUCCCGCUCUGCUCCCCUCCAGCCCUGUCUGCGCCAGCCAUAGGCCUGUGCAGCAAGGGGGGCUGCCGUCCCUGGCCACGCCUGGCCCGUCCAGCCUGGAGUCCUGUCUCUGCGGUGGUGGGGGCACGGCCCACGAGGCUGAGCUCUGAGCCGCAGCCCAGCAGAGAGGCCCCGGCCCGUGAGGCCUUAGCACUGGCUCGGCGACAGCUGGGCUCGCAGGGCCAGAUGCGGUCAGGGCAGGGCCUCAGCAGAAGCCCCGGCAGCUUUUAAUGCUGCCAUGAAAAGUGACAGGAGCAAAUGGAAACCCCCAGCCAGACGUCAGGCUGGGUCAUAGCCGCUGCGGGGAUGAGCCGACCCCUGCGGCCACCUCCCUGGCCUGGCGCUUUGCAGAAAGCUGCACACCCAACCCCUUCCUGUGCCCACACAGAGGCUGCAUCCUCACUGCGAGUCGCUUGUCUGGGACUGUCCUGUGAUUCCCAGUGUUAUGCGCAUGGGAAAGAAUGUGAAGCAUUUGUCUGAGUUUUAGUUGUGGCAUUUUUACCCUACAAUAUUUUCUGUUCAUCUAAAGUCUUUUAUUGCACUCUGCAUGCCUUCAUUGUAAAACUAAACAUAUGUAAUAGAUCUAUGGAAUUAUUCUCUCUGGAGUCAGUUCUCUUGUGACAUUAAUAAAAAUAUCAUACAGUAAUUAGACAUGAAACUUAGGAACAAAAGAAA